UACGGGGGGGGCAAGCGUCGUUCGGAAUUACUGGGCGUAAAGGGCUCGUAGGCGGCCAACUAAGUCAGACGUGAAAUCCCUCGGCUUAACCGAGGAACUGCCCUCCAAACUGCUUCGCUUGAGACCGGGAGAGGUGAGUGGAAUUCCCAGUGUAGCGGUGAAAUGCGUAGAUAUUGGGAGGAACACCAGUGGCGAAGGCGGCUCACUGGACCGGUACUGACGCUGAUGCGCGAAAGCGUGGGGAGCAAACGGG
rnacentral:rRNA from 1 species